UGGGAUAACUGCCUGGCACUCACCAAGCUACACUUGAGGAGAAUCAAUCCAUAUCAUCAUGUCCCCAAUUUUAUAGCACCAAGUAUUUUGUUUAUUCACAAAUGCCCUAUUGUGGACAUCUAACAAACAAUGAUACAUCAAAAAAGGAGAUGUGCAUAAAUUUUCAUGGAAUAAAGUAUAAAGCCCAACUCUCAAUACAUAUUAAUCAUAACGGGGGUCUAGGAAAUAUUCUGAACUAAAUGGGAAUGCAGAAUGUGUCAGGCCUCUGAGCCCAAGCUAAGCCAUCAUAUCCCCUGUGACCUGCAGGUACACAUCCAGAUGGCCAGUUCCUGCCUUAACUGAUGACAUUCCACCACAAAAGAAAUGAAAAUGGCCUGUUCCUACCUUAACUGAUGGCAUUAUCUUGUGAAAUUCCUUCUCCUGGCUCAUCCUGGCUCAAAAGCUCACCUACUGAGCACCUUGUGACCCCCACUCCUGCCUGCCAGAGAACAACCCCCCUUUUUCCUUUACCUACCCAAAUCCUAUAAAACGGCCCCACCCCUAUCUCCCUUCGCUCUCUUUUUGGACUCAGCCCACCUGCACCCAGGUGAUUAAAAGCUUUAUUGCUCACACAAAGCCUGUUUGGUUGUCUCUUCACAGGGACGCGCAUGAAAGAAUGUACCACAGAAAAUAAGACACAUCAAUGAGGGCAGAACAGAAUUGAGUUUUGGGGAAGGUGUCUUGAGUUAAAGAUGGUGAUGAAAAUAAUGAGUCAUUGACAGAGAAGGAAACAUCCUAAUUUACAGUCAUUAAGGACCGCCAUGAAAUUCCACCCCAUGAAAAUCUGAAAUGGGUUGUGGAAAAUGCACUAGAAUCAACAAGCAUGGGGACUAAUUCAACUCGGAUACCAUGUCUUCAGAGAAGUUUUUCCUGCUCUCCUCUCCCUGUAGAAUUAAUUAUUCUUCCACCGUGCCACCCUCUAACUUGUGCUCAUAUCUGCCUCUAUUGUAGUUAUGUGUUUACAUCCCUGUUGUUUUUGUACCGGCUUCUCCCGAAGGGAAACAUUUAGUCUUAUUCUUCUUGGUAACUUUAGCACAGACCUGGCAGAUUGUUGACGCUCAACAAAUGUUCAUUGACUCAAAUGCGUUCAAUUAAACAUUGACCUUUGAUCAACUCUGGGAAAAGUCUGCAAAGCUAGUUAGGACACUCAGAAAUUCAUUUCAUUUCAAUCCUAACUAAAUAAAUUAUUGAAGUCUCAGAACUUCUCAGUACUUGACUUAGACACAUAGAAACUUGGGUAAAUAGCACCUAUAUUGUUAUAUUCCUCAAAAAAAAAAGUUUAUCUUUUCAUGAAAUGAAUCUACUGAGGAUAUUUAUAGAAAUUGAAUGUAAGUGAGCAGAAUAAAGUGGUGUGUGUGUGUGUGUGUGUGUGUGUGUGUGUAUGUAAUUUGAAGAGUAGGUGGGAAAAGGUUGUGACAGGAUAGCAGAUCUUGUUUAUGAUAGUCACUAGCUAUAGCAGACACUGCCUGAUGCCUUUCCAAUAUCCACUUCACUUUUCUUUUUUUCCUUUUUUUUUUGGAACAGAGUCUCACUCUGUCCCCCAGGCUGGAGUGCAAUGGCAUGAUCACGGCUUACUACAUCCUCUGCCUCCUGGGUUCGAGCAAUUUUCAUGCCUCAGCCUCCCUAGUAGCUGGGAUUACAGGCUCUCGCCACCACGCCCAGCUAAUUUUUGUGUUUUUAGUAGAGAUGAGGUUUUGCUAUGUUGGCCAGGCUAGUCUUGAACUCCUGACCUCAGGUGAUCCACCUGCCUCGGCCUCUCAAAGUGCUGGGAUUACAGGCAUGAGCCACCGUGCCUGGCUCUCUUUUCUUACUUAAUGUCUGUGUCAAUUAAAUAGAAGUGUAUCAAGUUAAAAACCUUGCUUCGGUAGCUUCCAGUGCAAAUAAAGGUACCCAUGCCACCCCAUUCUGGCCAACAGUAAAAUUGAUGGAAGCCUCUGGUUGGGCCUUCAAGGAAAGCUUUAUCAAAAGAUAAACUCACUGCCUUUGUCCCUUAGUUCAGUGGUCCCCAACCUUUUUGGCACCAAGAGACCAGUUUUGUGGAAGACAAUUUUUUCCAUGGACCAGGAGGGUGCCGGGGGAUGGUUUUGGGAUGAAACUGUUUCACCUUAGAUAUCAUCAGGCAUUCAGUUCUCAUAAGGAGCAUUCAGUUCUCAUAGAUCCCUUACAUGUGCAGUUCACAAUAGGGUUCAUGGUCCUAUGAGAAUCUAAUGCCACUGCUGAUCUGACAGGAGGCAGAGCUCAGGCAGUAAUGCUCACUGGUUCCACUGCUCACCUCCUGCUGUGCAGCCCAGUUCCUAACAGGCCACAGACCAGUACUGGUUCGCAGCCCAGGGUUUGGGGACCCCUGUCUUAGUUCCUUUGCCUUCCUUCCAGAUGGAUGCCUGGAGGAAUAAUCAUCCCGCAAUUGUGAAAAUUAAAGCCAUAUUUUAAAGUUGGUCUCAAUUGUAAUACCGAAGAAAUCUGGACCUUGAUGACAUUUGAGCUACAGUACUAAUCUUGAUCUUCCUAUUCAUGAGCUUGUUGCGAGAGACAAGUCUUUUACUGAUUUAACUCAUUGUUGGGAUUUCUUGGAACUAAACACAGUCAUAAUACAUUUUUUCCUUCCCAGGAAAAUGGUAGAGCAUGACUUUUCAAAUCUAAUAAAACUCAUGUGUAGCUAAAACCACUCUACUGAAACAAUUCCAUCUCAGCCCAUGGUACAAGGGAUUUUCCUGAAUGAAAAAUGGUGUCUGAUCAUUUUGUUGGUUUCUUUGUUGGUUUUUCCUGAAACUUAGGGUUAAAGAAUCCAGGAAAGUUGCCUUAGAUAGAGUUAUAAUUUCUGUGGACAUCAACUGAUAAAUGCAACUACAGUUUGUAUGCCUAGGUUUGGCAAAAAUCAUAUAAGCCACAUCCCUCACAUAAUAUUGUUUUAAUUAAAUUUUAUUUCUUUCUUGGUAUGAAACAUACUGCAGAAGCACAAUCAAUGAACAUUGGAUAGGUUCCUUAAAUCUUGCUGUUUGUCCUAUUUAUAUAAUUUCUUGUGUUAGUGGUUCUCAAGUGGUAUGCUCCUGCAACUCAUCAUCUGAAAAUCCUUCCCAGAUGUGCUGAAAAAUUUUCAUUAAUUUGAUAUUCUAUUUUAUUUUUAUAAAUAAGUACACAUGCUUGUGACUGGAAGAGAAAACACCCCUCGUUUAAUCCCAGAGGAAUAUUUGGCCUUGAUUCCUGCCCUGCUUACUCCACCCCAUUAUUAAGAUAGAGAUCGCUGAAGAAAUCCCUGCUCUAUAAAUGUAGCUGAUCCAAAAACAAAAUGGAAAUUCAUUAUUUUAAAGAUUUCUACAAGAUCUUGGUACAACUCUGUUUUUUUUUUUUUCCUAUUAAGAAUUACAUGAUUCUAGAAUAAGUUCCAACCCCAAGUAUCAACACUGGAACACAAUUUUAAAACAGGAGGCGAUUAUCUCUAUAGUGAGAUUUAACUACAGAGGUGAUAGCUCUGGUUAGUGAAUUUCAGGACUAGAAAUCAGGCCUGCUGUCUCUUAGCUUAGAGGAGGUAUAAUAAGAAGAGGAUUAGAACUAGUGUGUAUAUUAACAAGAAGAACUCUAUUAUGUUCAGCUAUCAUUAUAUAUGAUAUUAUGUUUCUUUUUAUGAACUAUAGUUCACUGUCUUUAAGCAUAAUGUUUGCCCAAGGUGGGGGUGUAGGUGUGUGUCUGUGUGUAUAUGCAUGUGUGCACAUAUGUGUAUGUAUAUUUGAUUCAUUCAUUCUGACCUACUGAAUUUACUGAAGGAAUGAGAAGAAAUACCUUGGACUGAGGGACCUGGCUUAGCUCAACAUCUGUACCAUCUACCUUUGAGUAUCCAUUCCUUUACUAUGAAGCAUGGAUGCUAAAACUAAAAUUGCAUUUGCUAAACUACUUUGUAGCUAGAUUCCUGGGUGAGAUUAGAUUUGGUCAAUUAGAUGUUCUUGUGUAACAUUUAGAAGGUGAUAGUAAGGUAAAGGUCAUGUGACUGGCUGAUUUUGUUUAUGUUCAAUGAUCUUUAUUGGGGUACACAUUAUAUAUAAUAAUAAAUAAUGCACACAUUUUAAGUGUACAAUUUGAUGAGUUCUGACAAAUUUAUAUGCAUAUAUAACCAGCAGCAAUAUCAAGAUAUAUAAUAAUCCCCUCAUUCCAGAAUAGUCUCUUGUGUUCUUUCCAGCCAAUGCCCCACCCCUGGAUUCUGGCAACAAUUCAUCUGCUUUUUAUUACCAUGGAUCAUAUUUGUCUUUCCUAGAGAUACAAAUCAAUGAAAUAAUGUAGUGUGUCCUCUUUAACUUUGGCUUGUUUCUCUCAGCACACUAUUUCUGAAAUUUGUCCAUACUGUUGAUAUGGCAGACAGAAUUUUAAGAUGGUUCCUAAAAUUCUUGCCUCCUGGUAUAUAUAAUUUUCUCUCAGUUUUCCAGUGAACACUAAUCUAGUGUAAUAUAUUGUAAAGGGAUUUCUCAAGUGUAAUUAAAGUCCCUAAUAAGUUUAUUUUAAGUUAGAAAAAUUUUCCCAGGUGAACUUGAGCUAAGUGAGUGACCUAAGCAGGUGAGUCAUUAGAAAAAAAUUAAGAGAUAUUUGAAGCAUAGACAAAAUUCUGUCGGCUUUUAAAAGAAAACUUCCAUGUGAUAGAGAAAGCCAGAUGAUAGGGAACACAAGGUUACCUCUAAAUUGACAACCAGCAAAAAAGCUGAGACUUCAGUCUUAUCAUCAUAAGGAAUUGAAUUCUGUCAAUAGCCACGUGACCUUAGAGGAGGACCCUGAGCUGCAGAUGAGAUCAUGGCCCUGGCCAAUACCUUAAAUUCAUCCUGGUGAGAUAUGAGCAGAGAACUCAGCUAUGCCAUGCUCAGAUUUCUCACCUGUAAAGCAGUGAAUUAAUAAGUGGACAUUAUUUGAAGCUGCUAAGUUUGUGGUGAUUUGUUACACACCAAGAGAAAACAUAUACUGUAUAUAUCAUUAGAUUUUUCCUUUAUAUUGGUGGGUGUAUUUGUUAUCUAUUACUUCCUAACAAAUUGACAAUAAUUAAGUGUCUUAAGACAACACAUAUUUAUUACCUCAUAGUUUCUGUGGGUCAGAAAUUUGGGCAUGGUUUAUGUGAGUUCUUUGAUUUAAAGUUGUUGGCAAGUCUGUAAACAAGGAAGCAGUCAGGACCGAGGUCUCAUCUGAAAGUCAACUUGGGAUGGAUCUGCUUCCAGCCUUACUUAACAUAACAGUUGGCAGGAUUCAGUUGCUCUGGGGUAGUUGGAUUGAUGGCCUCAGAUAACUAGGUAGCUAUUAGCUAGAUUUCACCCUCAGUUUGUUGCCAUGUGGGCCUCCCCAAGGUGGCAAUUUACUUCAUCAAAACCAGCAAGGGAGAGAGUCGGCUACAAUCUCUAGUAAUAUAGCUACAGAAAUGACAUCCCCUUAGCAAUGAGAUAUUUUAUUAAUUAGAAAGAAAUUACUCAACAGGAGGGGAUUGCACAAUGUAGUGAAUACCAGGAGGCUGAGAUCAGAAGGAGCUAGUUUAGAAGCUGCCUACCACAGUGAGUAGUAUUCUAUUACAUGAAUAUACUAGAAUGUCUGUAUCCACCCAACUGGGCAUAGACAUUUGUGUUCAUUCAAGAUACGGACUAUUAUGAUUUUAAAAAUAAAAGUUAGUAUGAACAUUUAAGUAUAAGCUUUUGUGUAGGCAUGUUUCAUUUGUUUUGAAUGAAAUUGCAGGGUCACAUAGAAAAUGCAUAUUUAAUCUUAUAAGAAACUGCUUAAAAUGCUUUACAAAGUGAUUUUACCAUUUUACACUCCCAACAAUGUAUAGCAAUAUAUCAUAGACCUAGUGGUUUCAUAUCUCCACAAACACUUGAUAUUGUCACUCAGUUUAAUUGUAGCUAUUUAAAUAGGCUUAUAAUGGUACUCGUUAUGAUUUUAAUAUGCAUUUCCCUAAUGCUUAUUAGGGACUAAUUAUGUUAAGCAUCUUUUCAUGUAUUUAGAGGCCAUUUGUGUAUCUUCAUUUGUAAAAUAUCUGUUUAAGUAGCUUGCCCAUUUGGAUUGCUUUACAUUUUAUUACAGAGUUAUAAGAGUCCUUUAUAUAUUCUGAAUAUGACUCUUUUAUCAGACAUACAUAUAUAUCAAAUAUUUUUUUCUAAGUUUGUGGCUUGUGUUUUUACUUUUUAUACUGUUUAUUGAAUAGUAGAUUUUAUAUUCAUUUUAUCCAUUCUUCUGAUAUGAUUGAUACUUUUUGAACUAUGAAAAUGUUGCUAUGUAAAAAUAAAAAAUAUAUUUUCAUCCUGAGUUUCAUAAUUUUAGCUUUCGCCCUUGUGUCUGUGAUUCAUUCUGAGUUAUUUUCUUGUAUAGUUUAAAGUCAAAGUGGGUGUUUGUUUGCUUAUUAAUUAUUUAUAGAUAUUUCUAAUUCUUUCUAGCACCGUUUAUUAAAAAGUCUCCUUUUUUACCCAUUGAAUUAUUUUGCUUAAAUUAUUAUGUCUAAAAUCAAAUUACCAAAUAUGCAUUGUCUAUUUUGAACUAUUUAUUCUGUUUCAUUGAUUUUUAUGUGUUCCUUUACACCAAUAUCAUUGUCUUAAUUACUGUAGAUUUGUUGGAAAUAUGGGAGUCAAAUUUAAGGAUUUCAAUUUUGUCCUUUUAUCAGGUUGUUUUGGUUGUUCUAGGUCCUUUGUAUUUCCCUAUAACAUUUGGAAUUAGGUUGUCAAUAUCUCCCCAAAAUAAAGCCUGCUGGGAUUUUGAACAGGAUUGUAUGGAAUCUAUAAAUCAAUUUAGUGAGAAUUAAUAACUUAUAUUAAGUACUCUAAUUGAUGAACAUAGUAUCAUCUUCCAUUUAUUUAGGUCUUUGACUUCUCAGAAAUGUUUUAUAGUUUUCAGUGUGUAGAUCUUGAAGUUUGUAAAAUUCUAAGUGUGUUAUGGUUUUGACUGUAAUUGUAAAUACCUCCCAUUGUUCAUUGUUAGUACAUAGAAAUAAAACAAACUUUGUAUUAAUUUUUUCUUAUGCAAUCUUCUAUAUUCACUUCUUUCCAAUAGUUUUAUGUGGAAUUCUUAGAAGCUUCCACUUACAUCAUCAUGUCAUUUGGUAAUUAAAACAAUUUUACAUCCUUU